AGCAGCCGCGGUAAUUCCAGCUCCAAUAGCGUAUAUUAAAGUUGUUGCAGUUAAAAAAGCUCGUAGUUGGAUUUCGGGGUUAGUAGGUUGGUCAUGCCUCUGGUAUGUACUGGUCUCACUGAUUCCUCCUUCCUGAUGAAUCUUAAUGCCAUUAAUUUGGUGUUUUGGGGAAUUUGGACUGUUACUUU
rnacentral:rRNA from 1 species